GACGAACGCUGGCGGCGUGCUUAACACAUGCAAGUCGAACGGAAAGGCCCUGCUUUUGUGGGGUGCUCGAGUGGCGAACGGGUGAGUAACACGUGAGUAACCUGCCCUUGACUUUGGGAUAACUUCAGGAAACUGGGGCUAAUACCGGAUAGGAGCUCCUGCUGCAUGGUGGGGGUUGGAAAGUUUCGGCGGUUGGGGAUGGACUCGCGGCUUAUCAGCUUGUUGGUGGGGUAGUGGCUUACUAAGGCUUUGACGGGUAGCCGGCCUGAGAGGGUGACCGGCCACAUUGGGACUGAGAUACGGCCCAGACUCCUACGGGAGGCAGCAGUGGGGAAUAUUGCACAAUGGGCGGAAGCCUGAUGCAGCAACGCCGCGUGCGGGAUGACGGCCUUCGGGUUGUAAACCGCUUUCGCCUGUGACGAAGCGUGAGUGACGGUAAUGGGUAAAGAAGCACCGGCUAACUACGUGCCAGCAGCCGCGGUGAUACGUAGGGUGCGAGCGUUGUCCGGAUUUAUUGGGCGUAAAGGGCUCGUAGGUGGUUGAUCGCGUCGGAAGUGUAAUCUUGGGGCUUAACCCUGAGCGUGCUUUCGAUACGGGUUGACUUGAGGAAGGUAGGGGAGAAUGGAAUUCCUGGUGGAGCGGUGGAAUGCGCAGAUAUCAGGAGGAACACCAGUGGCGAAGGCGGUUCUCUGGGCCUUUCCUGACGCUGAGGAGCGAAAGCGUGGGGAGCGAACAGGCUUAGAUACCCUGGUAGUCCACGCUGUAAACGGUGGGUACUAGGUGUGGGGUCCAUUCCACGGGUUCCGUGCCGUAGCUAACGCUUUAAGUACCCCGCCUGGGGAGUACGGCCGCAAGGCUAAAACUCAAAGGAAUUGACGGGGCCCCGCACAAGCGGCGGAGCAUGCGGAUUAAUUCGAUGCAACGCGUAGAACCUUACCUGGGUUUGACAUGGAUCGGGAGUGCUCAGAGAUGGGUGUGCCUCUUUUGGGGUCGGUUCACAGGUGGUGCAUGGCUGUCGUCAGCUCGUGUCGUGAGAUGUUGGGUUAAGUCCCGCAACGAGCGCAACCCUUGUUCACUGUUGCCAGCACGUUAUGGUGGGGACUCAGUGGAGACCGCCGGGGUCAACUCGGAGGAAGGUGGGGAUGACGUCAAGUCAUCAUGCCCCUUAUGUCCAGGGCUUCACGCAUGCUACAAUGGCUGGUACAGAGAGUGGCGAGCCUGUGAGGGUGAGCGAAUCUCGGAAAGCCGGUCUCAGUUCGGAUUGGGGUCCGCAACUCGACCUCAUGAAGUCGGAGUCGCUAGUAAUCGCAGAUCAGCAACGCUGCGGUGAAUACGUUCCCGGG
rnacentral:rRNA from 1 species